UGCUCCGCCAGUUUCUCUCUGAGAGUUGUCUUGGUGACUGUGUUCUCCAGUUUAAACCUAAACACAAAAGUUUUGAAAGAACUGCUUGUCCACUGGUACUUGGACGAGGAAGGAAGUAGUCUUCGGUGACUUCUGGACUCGACUCUGGUGGCAUGUUGUCCGUUUCACGAUCACACUGCAAAUAAGUGAAAAUAAUACAUGUAGAUGCAAGAGCAUUUCAAGCAGUAACAGAUCUUUAGAUGCUGUAUGUCCUCACAAAAGGCAAAACUGUCAAACGAAAUGAAGACUGGUAUCCAUGAAGCCGCAAUGGACCCAGCAGACACAAGUGAAUCUCAUUCAUAAUAAUUCCUUCCAUGAUAAAUUACCUCACCCUGACUACCGUCGCCCAGCAGGUCCAUUUUUAAGACACGAUGAUAAGUCAAGUUGUGGGUAUUUUUCACAUUGAUGAUGCAAAGUUUUCUUAAUACUGUCACUCAAAUAUUGAAGAUACCAUUGAAGCCAGUGAAAGUUCUACUACAGCGUAUGAAAAACUGUUGAGAUCAUGACGAAACGUUUGAGAAUACCGUAGUUAGUUUAACCAAAAUUUCACCUCAAAAUGAUUUUCCUCCUCUCCCACCAUACUGAUUCCCUCAACCACAUCUAGCUUUGUAAUAAACUUAACCUAUUUUGCCAUGAGAGGAAAACACAUUUGAGUAAAUAAUGUCAGCAGAUUGUUUGAUAUAGAAAAUAGUAGCUUCAGUUUUUCUUUUGAAAAAAUAAAAAAUAAAAGUAAAUAAAUAAAUAAAUAAAUAAAAUAAAUAAAUAAAUAAAUAAAUAAAAAAAUAAAUAAAUAAGUGCUUGUAAGCCUUUGUAUUUUGAAACGCCUCCUUGUUCUCCCUUGUAAGACUUUUUUCAUUCAGACCACAGAUAUGAUUACUCAAGAUUCUCAUGGGUGUUUUACUCAUUAAUGGGAGAGAAUCCCUGAAUCAUAAAACACUUCAAAGUCAACCCCAAUAACUUCCACUGCAGUAGUCGAGACAAGAUGGCAAAGUGUUUGAAAACACAGUUGCUGAAUCAGUCAUGAAACUGAGAAUAUCAUGGUGAUCCAGAUUUAUUUAUUUAUUUUUUACACAAAGGAUAUUGUAAGAAAGACUGAUGAACGUGUUUAAGUGUGUUUAGUGUUCUAUGUCAUGCCUUUGGAGCAUCAUGGAAACACUGAAAAUCUGAAUUGAAAGCAAGAUACAUCAUGAGAGAUACAUCACUGCUGGCCAGUAAGCCCUGUGUAAGACACUUUAGACACAAGUCUCACAUUACAGUUACUCAUAUCUUAAAUUGCUAAACUGAGCACCACCAAUCACACAAUCCCAGUCACACUGCCAGCUAGCUGUGGCUCAAUACAGGUGAAGAAUAUUAUCUACAAUAUGCACAAUACUGCUGUCAAAUUCAUUAUGGCAUUUUAUUGUACUAGCAUGUAAAAAAGUUCUUUGGUAUAUUAUAAUAUGUAUCUGAGGAAUUUACGAUGAAGAUGAACAGUGAUGACAAGCUGGUCAUAAUGCUAGGCAAACUUAUAUACAGUACUAUGUAUGUAUAACAGAAGCAAAUUAAUAAAAGUUGACAUACUUAGACACUUGAUCAGAAACUUAACAGUAAGACUGUUCUGUAACUGAAUAGUAGCAAUACACAUGAAACAAGGAACAGAACUGCAUUAAUCACAGUAAAAAGACACCUUAACCUCAAGUGAACAAAAUUUUGAUAUAGCACACAAACAAAAUUUCCCUUUAUUGCUUAUUCCAAGGUUAUGCUGAAAAGAUCUAGGAAGCUUAUGUUCAGUUUUAAUGAACUACCUGAGUUAAAUCCUAAAUCAAGGGACAACCAAAUGAAUAAACUUAUCUUCAUCUGGUGACUGAUGAACUUUAAAACUAACAGUAUGUAUUACAUACACAAAUAUUUUUUUUUCUUUGGUAUCACCAGCAGCUAACCUCUUCAGGAAGGCUGCCUUGGCUGAUGAUGGCUUGUUUGGCAGGCUGGAAGCACCUGGAUCUCCCCACUCCUAAGUGGAGUCUCCUCAGUGGCACAGAAGGUCACUCCUGACGUGCCAAGACCCAGAUGACGGCCUCGUCUCCUGCACCAAGAUCAGUGUCAAGAAUAAUAAUGUGUUAGAUGCUAAAUUAAACUCUGGAACUUCC